GUUGUAUGGUUAAGUGACUAAGCGUACACGGUGGAUGCCUUGGCAGUCAGAGGCGAUGAAGGACGUAGUAACUUGCGAUAAGCGUAGAUGAGGCAGUAACAGCCACUUGAGUCUACGAUUUCCGAAUGGGGAAACCCACUGGCAUAAGCCAGUAUCAUUGAGUGAAUACAUAGCUCAAUGAAGCGAACCGGGAGAACUGAAACAUCUAAGUACCCCGAGGAAAAGAAAUCAACCGAGAUUCCGAAAGUAGCGGCGAGCGAAAUUGGAUUAGCCCUUAAGCUUUACAUGUGUUAGACGAACGGUCUGGAAAGUCCGACGAUACAGGGUGAUAGUCCCGUAGUUGACGAUGCAUGUUCAGUGAAAUCGAGUAGGGCGGGACACGUGUUAUCCUGUCUGAAUAUGGGGGGACCAUCCUCCAAGGCUAAAUACUCCUGACUGACCGAUAGUGAACCAGUACCGUGAGGGAAAGGCGAAAAGAACCCCUGUGAGGGGAGUGAAAUAGAACCUGAAACCGUGUACGUA
rnacentral:rRNA from 1 species